UACAGAGGUGGCAAGCGUUGUUCGGAAUUACUGGGCGUAAAGGGCGCGUAGGUGGCCUUCUUAGUCAGACGUGAAAUCCCCAGGCUUAACCUGGGAACUGCGUCUGAUACUGGAAGGCUUGAGUUCGGGAGAGGAAUGUGGAAUUCCAGGUGUAGCGGUGAAAUGCGUAGAUAUCUGGAGGAACACCGGUGGCGAAGGCGGCAUCCUGGACCGAUAUUGACGCUGAGGAGCGAAAGCCAGGGGAGCAAACGGG
rnacentral:rRNA from 1 species